rnacentral:rRNA from 1 species
AAGCACUNUUAUACUGUGAAACUGCGAAUGGCUCAUUAAAUCAGUUAUCGUUUAUUUGAUAGUACCUUACUACAUGGAUACCUGUGGUAAUUCUAGAGCUAAUACAUGCUACAAACCCCGACUUCAGGAAGGGGUGUAUUUAUUAGAUAAAAAACCAACGCCCUUCGGGGCUCCUUGGUGAAUCAUAAUAACUUAACGAAUCGCAUGGCCUUGCGCCGGCGAUGGUUCAUUCAAAUUUCUGCCCUAUCAACUUUCGAUGGUAGGAUAGUGGCCUACCAUGGUGGCAACGGGUAACGGGGAAUUAGGGUUCGAUUCCGGAGAGGGAGCCUGAGAAACGGCUACCACAUCCAAGGAAGGCAGCAGGCGCGCAAAUUACCCAAUCCCGAUACGGGGAGGUAGUGACAAUAAAUACUGAUACGGGGCUCUUUCGGGUCUCGUAAUUGGAAUGAGAACAAUUUAAAUCCCUUAACGAGGAACAAUUGGAGGGCAAGUCUGGUGCCAGCAGCCGCGGUAAUUCCAGCUCCAAUAGCGUAUAUUAAAGUUGUUGCAGUUAAAAAGCUCGUAGUUGAACCUUGGGCCUGGCUGGCCGGUCCGCCUCACCGCGAGUACUGGUCCGGCUGGGCCUUUCCUUCUGGGGAACCUCAUGGCCUUCACUGGCUGUGGGGGGAACCAGGACUUUUACUGUGAAAAAAUUAGAGUGUUCAAAGCAGGCCUUUGCUCGAAUACAUUAGCAUGGAAUAAUAGAAUAGGACGUGCGGUUCUAUUUUGUUGGUUUCUAGGANCGCCGUAAUGAUUAAUANGGAUAGUCGGGGGCGUCAGUAUUCAGCUGUCAGANGUGAAAUUCUUGGAUUUGCUGAA